rnacentral:rRNA from 1 species
CAAUAGCGUAUAUUAAAGUUGUUGCAGUUAAAAAGCUCGUAGUUGGAUUUGUGGCGUACGGUGUGUUCCGGGCACUUGUUGUCUGAGUAACCUGCUGUUGCCAUCCUUGGGUGGAACCUGUGUGGCAUUAGGUUGUCGUGCAGGGGAUGCCCAUCAUUUAUUGUGAAAAAAUUAGAGUGUUCAAAGCAGGCUUAUGCCGUUGAAUAUAUUAGCAUGGAAUAAUGAGAUAGGACUUUUUUGCUAUUUUGUUGGUUUGCGCAAAGAGGUAAUGAUUAAUAGGGACAGUUGGGGGUAUUCGUAUUCCAUUGUCAGAGGUGAAAUUCUUGGAUUUUUGGAAGACGAACUACUGCGAAAGCAUUUACCAAGGAUGUUUUCAUUGA